rnacentral:rRNA from 1 species
GAGAGUUUGAUCAUGGCUCAGAGCGAACGCUGGCGGCAGGCCUAACACAUGCAAGUCGAACGGACCCUUCGGGGUUAGUGGCGGACGGGUGAGUAACACGUGGGAACGUGCCUUUAGGUUCGGAAUAGCUCCUGGAAACGGGUGGUAAUGCCGAAUGUGCCCUUCGGGGGAAAGAUUUAUCGCCUUUAGAGCGGCCCGCGUCUGAUUAGCUAGUUGGUGAGGUAAUGGCUCACCAAGGCGACGAUCAGUAGCUGGUCUGAGAGGAUGACCAGCCACAUUGGGACUGAGACACGGCCCAAACUCCUACGGGAGGCAGCAGUGGGGAAUCUUGCGCAAUGGGCGAAAGCCUGACGCAGCCAUGCCGCGUGAACGAUGAAGGUCUUAGGAUUGUAAAAUCUUCACCGAGACGAUAAGCAGCU